rnacentral:rRNA from 1 species
UUAAGCGACCAAGCGUACACGGUGGAUGCCCUGGCAGUCAGAGGCGAUGAAGGACGUGCUAAUCUGCGAAAAGCGCCGGUAAGGUGAUAUGAACCGUUAUAACCGGCGAUGUCCGAAUGGGGAAACCCAGUGUGACUCGUCACACUAUCAUUAACUGAAUCCAUAGGUUAAUGAGGCGAACCGGGGGAACUGAAACAUCUAAGUACCCCGAGGAAAAGAAAUCAACCGAGAUUCCCCCAGUAGCGGCGAGCGAACGGGGAGGAGCCCAGAGCCUGAAUCAGCAUAUGUGUUAGUGGAAGCGUCUGGAAAGGCGCGCGAUACAGGGUGACAGCCCCGUACACAAAAGCGCAUGUGCUGUGAGCUCGAUGAGUAGGGCGGGACACGUGGUAUCCUGUCUGAAUAUGGGGGGACCAUCCUCCAAGGCUAAAUACUCCUGACUGACCGAUAGUGAACCAGUACCGUGAGGGAAAGGCGAAAAGAACCCCGGCGAGGGGAGUGAAACAGAACCUGAAACCGUGUACGUACAAGCAGUGGGAGCCCCACCACUAAGCCAGUGGUGAACUCCACAUACGCAUCCUUUGCGGAAGAUGCGGUUAACGGAGCGAAAGCGACGUUCAACCGCAAAAGAAGCAGAGGGGGCUUAGUGGUGGGGUGACUGCGUACCUUUUGUAUAAUGGGUCAGCGACUUAUAUUCUGUAGCAAGGUUAACCGAAUAGGGGAGCCGGAGGGAAACCGAGUCUUAAUUGGGCGUUAAGUUGCAGGGUAUAGACCCGAAACCCGGUGAUCUAGCCAUGGGCAGGUUGAAGGUUGGGUAACACUAACUGGAGGACCGAACCGACUAAUGUUGAAAAAUUAGCGGAUGACCUGUGGCUGGGGGUGAAAGGCCAAUCAAACCGGGAGAUAGCUGGUUCUCCCCGAAAGCUAUUUAGGUAGCGCCUCGUGAAUUCAUCUCCGGGGGUAGAGCACUGUUUCGGCCAGGGGGCCAUCCCGGCUUACCAACCCGAUGCAAACUGCGAAUACCGGAGAAUGUUAUCACGGGAGACACACGGCGGGUGCUAACGUCCGUCGUGAAGAGGGAAACAACCCAGACCGCCAGCUAAGGUCCCAAAGUCAUGGUUAAGUGGGAAACGAUGUGGGAAGGCCCAGACAGCCAGGAUGUUGGCUUAGAAGCAGCCAUCAUUUAAAGAAAGCGUAAUAGCUCACUGGUCGAGUCGGCCUGCGCGGAAGAUGUAACGGGGCUAAACCAUGCACCGAAGCUGCGGCAGCGACACUGUGUGUUGUUGGGUAGGGGAGCGUUCUGUAAGCCUGCGAAGGUGUGUCGUGAGGCAUGCUGGAGGUAUCAGAAGUGCGAAUGCUGACAUAAGUAACGAUAAUGCGGGUGAAAAACCCGCACGCCGGAAGACCAAGGGUUCCUGUCCAACGUUAAUCGGGGCAGGGUGAGUCGACCCCUAAGGCGAGGCCGAAAGGCGUAGUCGAUGGGAAACAGGUUAAUAUUCCUGUACCUGGUGUUACUGCGAAGGGGGGACGGAGAAGGCUAUGUUGGCCGGGCGACGGUUGUCCCGGUUUAAGCGUGUAGGCUGGUUUUCCAGGCAAAUCCGGAAAAUCAAGGCUGAGGCGUGACGACGAGGCACUACGGUGCUGAAGCAACAAAUGCCCUGCUUCCAGGAAAAGCCUCUAAGCCUCAGGUAACAUCAGAUCGUACCCGAAACCGACACAGGUGGUCAGGUAGAGAAUACCAAGGCGCUUGAGAGAACCCGGGUGAAGGAACUAGGCAAAAUGGUGCCGUAACUUCGGGAGAAGGCACGCUGACACGUAGGUGAAGCGGUUUACCCGUGGAGCUGAAGUCAGUCGAAGAUACCAGCUGGCUGCAACUGUUUAUUAAAAACACAGCACUGUGCAAACACGAAAGUGGACGUAUACGGUGUGACGCCUGCCCGGUGCCGGAAGGUUAAUUGAUGGGGUCAGCGCAAGCGAAGCUCCUGAUCGAAGCCCCGGUAAACGGCGGCCGUAACUAUAACGGUCCUAAGGUAGCGAAAUUCCUUGUCGGGUAAGUUCCGACCUGCACGAAUGGCGUAAUGAUGGCCAGGCUGUCUCCACCCGGGACUCAGUGAAAUUGAACUCGCUGUGAAGAUGCAGUGUACCCGCGGCAAGACGGAAAGACCCCGUGAACCUUUACUAUAGCUUGACACUGAACACUGGUCCUUGAUGUGCAGGAUAGGUGGGAGGCUUUGAAGUGUGGACGCCAGUCUGCAUGGAGCCGUCCUUGAAAUACCACCCUUUAAUGGCUGGUGUUCUAACGUAGACCCGUGAACCGGGUUGCGGACAGUGUCUGGUGGGUAGUUUGACUGGGGCGGUCUCCUCCUAAAGCGUAACGGAGGAGCACGAAGGUUGGCUAAUCCUGGUCGGACAUCAGGAGGUUAGUGCAAUGGCAUAAGCCAGCUUGACUGCGAGCGUGACGGCGCGAGCAGGUGCGAAAGCAGGUCAUAGUGAUCCGGUGGUUCUGAAUGGAAGGGCCAUCGCUCAACGGAUAAAAGGUACUCCGGGGAUAACAGGCUGAUACCGCCCAAGAGUUCAUAUCGACGGCGGUGUUUGGCACCUCGAUGUCGGCUCAUCACAUCCUGGGGCUGAAGUAGGUCCCAAGGGUAUGGCUGUUCGCCAUUUAAAGUGGUACGCGAGCUGGGUUUAGAACGUCGUGAGACAGUUCGGUCCCUAUCUGCCGUGGGCGCUGGAGAACUGAGGGGGGCUGCUCCUAGUACGAGAGGACCGGAGUGGACGCAUCACUGGUGUUCGGGUUGUCAUGCCAAUGGCACUGCCCGGUAGCUAAAUGCGGAAGAGAUAAGUGCUGAAAGCAUCUAAGCACGAAACUUGCCCCGAGAUGAGUUCUCCCUGAGACUACAAGUCUCCUGAAGGAACGUUGAAGACGACGACGUUGAUAGGCCGGGUGUGUAAGCGCAGCGAUGCGUUGAGCUAACCGGUACUAAUGAACCGUGAGGCUUAACCUU